rnacentral:tRNA from 1 species
GGGGAUGUAGCUUAGAUGGUAUAGCACUUGCUUAGCAUGUGAGAGGUCCGUGGAUUGAUACGCCGCAUCUCCA